CAACCUGAUAUACAGACAUGUCUGACCAAGAGCUUCUACUGGAAACCGGAUCUCACUCUAGCGUUUAGAAGCUGCUAAGGCUUCCGCUCCUCCCAGCGCGCGUUUGCACUGUGAGGGAGCUACAAUUGCUGUACCACCAGAAGACACCUGUUAAGUGUUUUCUGUCUUCUGCAGGUACGUGAGCUUGUUAACAGUCAUUUUGUCUGCAAAGCACAAGCAAAUGAAAAUGUAAUGCGCUACUGUUAAUUUGUCCACUAGAGGGAAAUGUUUAGCCAGUGAUAUUUUUGUUAUCCUGUUAUUUUGUUUUAUACGGUUGUGAAAUGUAUUUUU
ensembl:lncRNA